AAGCAUUAAAGACAAAGCCGGAGUUCUACGCUUAGCCGGUCCCAUCAUCGUCAGGAUGUCUCCGGAACAUACGUCAAACAUCGCUAUCAUCCGGUCUGUGAGCUGUCAAUUAUUGUUACGUCCUUAAAAUGCAAGCUAAGCUUGGAGCUGUGACCACUUCCCAGGGAGCCUGUUCCAGUGCCUGAAGUUUAAUACCAUAGCUGUCCACAGGGCUCUCUUGUGGAACAUAAAGCACUGUGAACUCUCAAAAACAUGUCUGCCAAAGGCUAACUGGAGAAAGUCAAACAACCUUCAUCAACAGCUGAAGUGAAGAUGGCUGUCAUUGCAUUGGCUGUGCAAUGGGAACUGCAACAGUUUGCAUAGCUCCAACCCUUCGCAACAUGAACAGUUGGUUUUCCCUAAUUUGCGACAUGUGGAUGUAUAUUCCAGGGAUCAUUUCAGCAACACAGGCAUGCCAUAAAAUCCCUUCCAUAACAUGAUUUUUUUUUCCUCAGGGAGGAACCAUCAAGAACCUGACUUAAUGAGCUUUAAAGAUGUUCAGUGUUUCUUGUGCACUAACCUUAGUGAAGAGAAGAUAGCACAGUGCACAGACAGCAAUUCUGCCAAUUCUUUUGGAGGUGAAAGGAGAAGAGUUUUUAAGCUUUCAAGCCAUUUACUGAUGUAGUAUUUUGAAAAGCUUCUGUGCAAAGAAAGGCAAACUGUAUGAGAUCAGGUAUUUAAAAACUACUGCAAGACAAGAUGAUCAGGCUCAGAACUGUGACAUUUGAAGUCAGUAACACAAGUAGUCUCAGAAAAUAAAAUGUGUAUACAUUUGAGACAAUACAAUGCAAUGUGUAUGCAUUCAGAAAAUAAAAUGUGUAUAAAAUGUGUAA